AUGAAAACAGGGGGGGUUUCUAAAGACAGAAAAUAUAUUAAUUAAAAUCUAUAUAUUGACCAAUUGCAUUUUUGGUCGAGGUAGUGAGGUAGCGAUGUCCUGUUUGCAGUCGUUCUUCGUCGACUGUGAGAUUACAGCCCAUAACAUGCAAAAUGGAAUAAAAAAAAAAGAAAUCGCGGCGUGUGAUGUCAGCGCUGAAAAUGUUUGGCACGUGCUUUAAAUGUCACAGGUGUAAGAAGUUACUCUUAAAUGGCGACUCGACCUGGUCCAGAUGGACGACUGAGCUAGAAUUAUGCGUUGAGAUUUCCGCCAACGGAGACCAGGUUGAAGUUGUUGAGUGCACUACUGAAUGAAAGACAAGAUUGGUCAUCCUGAAGAUCUUCAACAUAGUAGGGAACAACGUUUUCUUUUAUUCUUUGCGGCUGCCGUGCCGCUGCUGUGUUGUGCUAGGCACAGCAGUG